rnacentral:miRNA from 1 species
AGACGGUAUGGACGGUAGAGACGA